GAUGAACGCUGGCGGCGUGCCUAAUACAUGCAAGUCGAACGCUGGAGAUCUAGCUUGCUAGAUCGAAGGAGUGGCGAACGGGUGAGUAAUACAUAAGCAACCUACCCACGAAGACUGGGAUAAUCUCUGGAAACGGGGACUAAUACCGGAUAGGUAAUCGGAAGGCAUCUUCUGGUUAUUAAAGGUUAAAAACACUGGUGGAUGGGCUUAUGGCGCAUUAGUUAGUUGGUGAGGUAACGGCCCACCAAGACGAUGAUGCGUAGCCGACCUGAGAGGGUGAACGGCCACAUUGGGACUGAGACACGGCCCAGACUCCUACGGGAGGCAGCAGUAGGGAAUUUUCGGCAAUGGGGGCAACCCUGACCGAGCAACGCCGCGUGAGUGAAGACGGCCUUCGGGUUGUAAAGCUCUGUUGUAAGGGAAGAACGGUAGAUAGAGAAUAUCUAAGUGACGGUACCUUACCAGAAAGCCACGGCUAACUACGUG
rnacentral:rRNA from 1 species